CACACAAAAUCAAAUGGCAGGAAACAAGCUCAUCAUCACAAAGCAGUAUUCACCCCAGCAUGAUAGCAGAGUGAAAUUGCAAACGGGAAAGCAGGUAAUCAUAUCCAUCUAUUAAGAGCAUUCAACACAGGCAGACAAAACCACAAAUGGGAUAAGAGCACAAUAAUGGAAUCGAAAUAGAGUAUUUAAACGACACAUCAUAGCUCGCACACAGGUGCAGGAGUCGGAAGUGCAACAACGCCCAGGAACACCACUUAACAUACACUAAGAUUCUCCAAAAAAGACUUGACACUAAAACUUCUGCUAGAUAACUCGAUGGCAGACACCAGAGCACUCAUUUCUUCUUGAUGGCAGCCUUGGUAACCUUGGCGCCGGUGGGGUCCUUCUUCUCAACGCCCUUGAUGACACCAACAGCAACCGUUUGUCUCAUGUCACGCACAGCGAAGCGGCCAAGAGGUGGGUAGGUGGCGAAGGUCUCCACAACCAUGGGCUUGGUGGGAAUCAUCUUCACAAUACCAGCGUCACCGUUCUUCAGGAACUUGGGCGCAGCCUCAAUCUCCUUACCAGAUCGCCUGUCAAUCUUGGUCACCAGCUCAGCAAACUUGACAGCAAUGUGGGAGGUGUGGCAGUCCAGCACUGGGGCGUAGCCGUUGCCGAUCUGACCAGGGUGGUUCAUGAUGAUGACCUGAGAGGUGAAGUUGGCUGCCUCCUUGGCAGGGUCAUCCUUAGAGUUGGAUGCAACAAACCCACGCUUCAGAUCCUUGACAGCAACGUUCUUCACGUUGAAGCCGACAUUGUCACCAGGAAGCGCCUCCAGGAGGGACUCGUGGUGCAUCUCAACGGACUUGACCUCAGUUGUCAGACCAGUGGGGCCAAAGGUAACAACCAUACCAGGCUUGAUGACACCAGUCUCAACGCGUCCAACAG
rnacentral:lncRNA from 1 species